UAUUCAGCUUUGAUUAAAAGUUACAGAUGGUAGAGUAUUUGCCUAGUUUGUGUAUGCCAUGCAUUCAUUCCCAACACAACAAAAGAAAAAAAAUUAUAGAACAAAACAAUAUUUUUAAAAUGCAGCUUUUGAAAAGAUGCAUGAUGUGAAUAAGACAUACUUUGAUUAAUGACAAGUCUGUUGUAGUUACAAGGAUAGGGUUUCCAUGGCUGUUUCUCUUGUAAAAUUGAAACCAUCCACAGAUAAUCUUUUAGCAACACCAGGAUAUAGAAGUAUUAUGUAACUUGCCUCAAAGGUGACAUGAACAAGAUUCAGAAGUGCAGCCACUCCCGUUCUUAUGAGCCACUCAUGAUAGAUGUCAUCUUUUGCUAUAACCUUUGCCUAAAUUGGAGAAAAGGUGGAUUUAAUGAGACAAAUGAAAAGUUUAAGAUAACACAGCAAAGCACUAUAUGCCAUUAUGCUUUGGUGUUUAUUUCCUGGCAGCUGUCCCUCAUAGAUUCUGGGAUAAUUUUGAAAAACUGGAGCCUUUUACUAAUUGUGAUAUUAAAACUUAUUCUUGAUAUAAAAGUACAUUGAACUGGGUAUUGGACUUUGAUUAAAAGUUU
rnacentral:lncRNA from 1 species